rnacentral:rRNA from 1 species
GGGGAAUUUUCCGCAAUGGGCGAAAGCCUGACGGAGCAAUACCGCGUGAGGGAUGACGGCCUAUGGGUUGUAAACCUCUUUUUUCAGGGAGGAAACAAAUGACGUGUACCCUGAAGAAUAAGCAUCGGCUAACUCCGUGCCAGCAGCCGCGGUAAGANCGGAGGAUGCAAGUGUUAUCCGGAAUCACUGGGCGUAAAGCGUCUGUAGGUGGUUUAAUAAGUCAACUGUUAAAUCUUGAAGCUCAACUUCAAAAUCGCAGUCGAAACUAUUAGACUAGAGUAUAGUAGGGGUAAAGGGAAUUUCCAGUGGAGCGGUGAAAUGCGUAGAGAUUGGAAAGAACACCGAUGGCGAAGGCACUUUACUGGGCUAUUACUAACACUCAGAGACGAAAGCUAGGGUAGCAAAUGGGAUUAGAUACCCCAGUAGUC